rnacentral:other from 1 species
AGCAUUUUAAUGGAUCAGAAAAAAUAAACGGAGUUUAUGGUAUAAAAUUCAAGUAAACCAUUUUCCUUUCCAAUUGACAACAAACAAGCCUGAGUGGUAUAUUCAGGAAUGUGGACGAAAGUCACACUUUAUUUGAUGACGAAGGGAAUGUUUGUGCAUGCAAGGAAAAGUUAAAUGGUUUAACGCAGAAAAAGGGUAUGGCUUCAUCGAAACGGCUGAAGGCGGCGACGUAUUCGUACACUUCUCCGCAAUUCAAGCUGAAGGUUUCAAAACUUUGGAAGAAGGUCAAGACGUUGAAUUCGACAUCGUCGAAGGCGCUCGCGGACCUCAAGCUGCUAACGUAAUCAAAUUAUAAUCAUCCGGCAAGGCCGACCUACAUAUACGGUUAGAUGGUUAAGUAAUUGAAAAACGAUAGCAUCAAACCCUGGAGCAAUCCAGGGUUUUUUU